CCGCCCCCGCCUCUCCCGCGCGCAGACCCCAGGUGUGGGGGGCGGGGGACGAGGGCGUUAGGGACCCCUAGAGAGGGCGUGGCCGAUGGGACGCGCUCGGAGGUCCCCCGCGCUCCUGGACUCGGGAGGCCGCUCACGAAGACCGAGGGCUGUGUCGUCCGUCCCGGGUGCCACCUUCAGCUGUUCCCGGGGCUUGCCCUCAACACUGACCUCCGUAGCCACACCAGCAGGAGAGAAGGCUGCUGUGGCAGAGAGAGAACAACAUCUGUGGACGUUGUGUGACCCAGGACUGAGUGCGUGCUCUAAGUUGACGAAACGAAUGGUGUGAUUGAAGCAUCUUAAUUUGGCCCAUGAGCCUUUGUGUUCUGUGACCUCUGGUAUAGGCGGCCUGGAAGGAGAGUUAGAAGCUAUCAUUGCCUUCAGAUCCAGAAAGUGGCCCAGGGUUGAGUGGGCUCUCUGAAGUAUCCUACCUGCAGCCGGAUGAUUCUGAGACCAAUGUGGGGCUGGUGAGGAGAAUUCAGGAUAGCAAGUACAUGUAUGUGGACACGAAUGGGAUACAGUGGUCCCAGGGCCAAGCUGCAAGCCCGUUGAGGGCUGAGGGCAGAUAUCAUUACUGUCUCAUCUCUCAGACCUGUCCUGACAAGGGCCAACAUGGUCCUACAAAAUGGAGCCCACUCCUCCUUCUGCUCGCCUCUGCUUACCUCUUCUGGCCUCGUCUCCCCCUCUCCUUUCCGCUGCGGGCAUAUUGACUCAUGGCUCUUCCUGUAUCAUGUGUCCUCCUGCCUACUAUUCCUGAACUGCUCUUCCCCAGAAAUCCACAUGGCUAGUCAAUGAAGUCCGGGUUCUGUCCAAAUCUCACCUUAUCAGAGAAGUCUUUGUGACCAGCAUGGGCUUUGGUCGAUGUGUCCUGUUUCUGUUGUCCCGCUUAACUUUUCCUCACUGGCCUCUCCCCACUGAGGGAGUAUGCACUGGGUUAUUUUCCACUGUCUCUCUCUCAACUGUAAACUCUAUGGAACAGUAUUUUUUCUGUUCUGUCGCUGGCUUUAUCCCCAGGGUCUAGCAUGGUAUCAGUAAAUGUACAGUCAUCACUGAAGUGAUGUCUGCUGACUGACUCAGCCCACGAAAAUAAAGGGUCUGUGGUUAGAGAAAACUAGAUACCAUUCUGGCCCUUGGCUGUCUUGUCCAAUUUGGACUUAGCCCGUGUUCUUCUCUGACCUGUAAUCUGAAGACCUGUAUAUCUUUUCUUAUUUCUCUGGAGUUACCUCCCCAGCCCAAUGGGAAGUGUCCUCUCUUUUCUAGGGAGACCUGAAAUCCAUGACACUACCAGGCAGCAUUUGCAAGAGGCACUUCUGGAUAGGCUGGGUGGCCCAACCCUGACCCAGGUGACCCCUGAGGCCUAGGGCUCAGGCUGGUUGGCCACACUCAGCCUGGGGGGGUGUUCUGGUCGACCCGCCUGCCUUCAUUUGAUUUCACCAUUAAGGUGAAUCCAACAUUCAGAAGUGGAGCCAUUUCACAAGACAGUCAGUAGACCCGGCCACGGUGGGCCUGCAUUCAGGCAUGGCACAGCCCUCGGAGCUGAAAAGCUGGCCCUGGUUCAGCUCAGCUCUCCGAUUUGCCAUGGUCCUCACCACUCAUGCAUAAUUUGUUUUGGUGCCAUCUGAAAUAAAGUCCACACAUGGUAGCUGCUUUCCUCACACGAACCAUGGGAUUUGAGCAAGACUCUUAAAUUCCCGAGACCCCUUCAUCUGCAAGUCAGAGUUCCCAAUGACCCUCUGAGCCCGUGGUGAGGCUUGGGUGGGAAAUUCCUUGGUAAGCAGAAGCACUCUGCCCCUCCCCCAAGUGCUGCUUUGCCACUUCCUCUUCUUUUAGGUCCCCUUCCCAGAUGCCACCCCUUCUGUCCUUGGACGCUGCUGUUUAGCCAGCCCAGGUGGGUCCUUGCUUAGCAGCUAAAUCUGCCUUCCCAGGUGGGGAGAGAUGCAGGCUGCCACUUACUGCUACACCUGCAUCAGUGUGAGGUCUCCAUUCAGGGAGGACGCAUAUGUCGCACUGAUAGCGUGAUGGGAUACAGGAGGGCUCGGAGUCCUAGCAGUGCUUGGCCUCAGAACAAUGAAAAAUGAGAUUUGAGCCGCCAGAUGGGUGAUUGCCACUGAAAAGUCUUCUUUCUUCAGUCCUAAGAUCUUUGUUCUAGAACCAGGUGUCACAGCAACUGCCUGUGAAGUCAGCUGGGUUUGCUCAGUUUUACUAGAAAAAGCUACUUCUUCCCUCCUGGGG